rnacentral:rRNA from 1 species
UACGUAGGGUGCGAGCGUUAAUCGGAAUUACGGGGCGUAAAGCGUGCGCAGGCGGUUCGCUGUGUCCGAUGUGAAAGCCCCGGGCUUAACCUGGGAAUGGCAUUGGAAACUGGCGAGCUGGAGUGUGGCAGAGGGGGGUGGAAUUCCGCGUGUAGCAGUGAAAUGCGUAGAGAUGCGGAGGAACACCGAUGGCGAAGGCAGCCCCCUGGGUUAACACUGACGCUCAGGCACGAAAGCGUGGGGAGCAAACAGG